CAUUGAUUGGCUUCAGAAGAGUGAAUAUUUCAUACCAGAGGUUUAAAAGAUGUGAACACGACAAGGGCAAUCACCCCCAGCUCAUGACUCUUCCAAAGAACUCAGGUCCUGCUUGCAAUGGGGUCCUGGCUGCAAAUCUACUCCAUGUCAAAUCAUCUGUUUCCUCCAAGCCACCAUAAUUGCAUGAAUGGCUAGUGUCCUAUCUCUCCUCAUAAUGCGGGCAGGAGAAUGAAGGAGAAUAAAUGGGACAGUGUCUCAAACUGA
rnacentral:lncRNA from 1 species